CUGCUCCAAACAAACCAAAAUGGUCUACUUUUUUAGUGCUACGUUUGUGCUGAUUUGUGCAGGUAAAAUUAGCGUUUGUGCUGCUACAGUAUCUGAGAUAUAAUGAUUUUAAUUAUUACGGCCUACGCUGUAUAACACCAGUGUCUGUGGCAGUGAGUUUCAGCAGCUGUGGAGUUUUGCACUUUUUCUAGGCUUGCUGCAUAUUAACUUUUAUUAGUUUACACUUUAGUAACACAAUUUAUUCAGCGGAAAGGUCGAUAUUUCUUUUGUUACUAGUGCAGAAACGUACACAAGGUAGGCUAAAGUUUUUAUUUUUUCUGUGGCAAAACUGAGUUUCAUGUGAAGUGAUUCACGUAUACCUAAAUUAUUAUUAUUUUUUACAUACCCAGUUGGCCUCUAUGAUUUUGUUUUGAAUUAUAUAUGUUCAUUAUUAUUAAUGUAGCUGUCUCAGAAAAAAUGAAGUGUUUGCUUUGAUAGGUUGUUACCUACGUGUAGAAAACUGAAUAUUCCACAGCACCUAGGCGAGGGAUCUUCAACCUGCGGCUCUAAAGCAACAUGUGGCUCUCCGGCCCCUCCACUGUGGCUCUUAUAAGUCCAAGCUCUAGACAGGUUUUGUAGCAGCAGGGGGAAAAGGGGCCCUUUGAAAUGAAAAGGAUGCUGACCCCUGACUUAAGCCACCAGAUGCUCCUGUCACUCCAUUUCCCAGGUCAUCGUAGCACUCCCACACAAAUGUGGGCAUUACUCCUGCAGUAUGCAGUGUAAUGCCCCAAACCAUCAGUGGUCAUCUUUCCAUGGAAAGCAAUUAAUGCCCUCAAAGUGAACGACUUUCCUUGGAGAACCAGGUUGGAGGGAAAUUCAUUCAGUGGAAAU